GAGGUUGAUGAUGCUGCCUCUUACAUUGACCCUAACAACUACCUGAACGUUCCAGGUGGGCAUUCAAGACCUCUCACCAGGAAUUACCAGGGCUUGAAGGAACAUAUAAUCUGCAGGGCAUGCAAAUCAAAGGAGGUGUGCAUGUUGUUAAUGCCUUGUAGGCAUUUAUGUUUAUGUAAAGACUGUGAUAUGUUAAUCAAUGU
rnacentral:misc_RNA from 1 species